ensembl:lncRNA
UACCCUGCACUGACAUGGAGGAAAACGUCACCCUUUAAAUAAGAAUAAUAAUUGCAAUGAGCAAUAUGAGAAAUUGCUAUGCAAAUCUGCCAGCCAUCAGGAAAGAAUUUUACCGGCUUCUUUCCAUAUUAUGGGGUUUAAUUAAUGCAAUCUAUGGACAAACAUGUAUUUUAUUUCCAGAAUGGGAGCUGUAAUUUCCUGGGGCUUGGAAACCCAGAUGUUUUUGAGUUUAGAAUAUAUAAGGAUUUGUUUUUAAAGAGUAUUUCAGUCAAUGUUGGAGGGGGAGGGGCUUUUAUUCAGUUCAAAGUUUGAUUUCUGAGCUUUCAGAUGACAGAGAUGCUCACUGGGAGCAGGGAGAGUGAUGGGCUGAAGUAUGCAGACAGCCAAGUGGCAAUGGCUAUGGGAAGAUUGUCUGCCUCUCAAAUGAGCUCCCCUCUUGGAAAUGGGACCAUCCCCAGCUGAAAGAAGUGUAGGAUGCCGAAAGCUUGAAAGCAAGACCCAGAUCCAAAAAUAAAGCCCUGCCUAAUGGCCUGGGCUGCCCUGCCCGUAGCAACACACUGGGGUUCUGUUGGUUUAGAAUGAUCCCGUUGUGAUGACACAGACAGAGCUCAGAGCAGCCACCCGCAGAAUGAGCACCUCUCAUGUGUUCCCCCGGGUCCUGUCACCCUGUGAGGGUUGGAGCAGUGACUCGCAUCUUAAAUGCAUCGGACCCAACGUAAUGGGCGAUGGAUGGAGAAGUCAUUAAGAAGCUGACAACAUCUCUAGCUCAGAAACUUACUCAGUUCCCGCGAUCUGAAUGCAAACCGCCCUGCUGUAUAUCUAACCCGGUUUCCCACCCCCUUUCUGCAAGCUUGUGUUUCUCAUUAAGUUUCCAAGUCCCACCGCCCCCACAGAACCACUGUGAAGUGCUAUUCCAGAUGCACAGUGCCAUCCUCACCCUGAUCCUGCUUACACACUCAGAGGAUGGAGUCCUUCUGAAGAAGGAGGCACUAAAGCUAACGGAAUCCAAAUCAUUUCAAAUCCAAAGUCUUCACUUUUCUUACCCUGUCACCUUUUCAAUGCAUCUGGUCACGGCAACAAUUGCAAAGGGUCAAGAAGGUCCUGCAGUGUUGCACUUAGAGCCCUUCUGGGGGUUCAUUCUGAGUCAAUCUUUACUCGGUUGGUGUCUCCCUUCCUUCUCCUUGCUUCGGUUCCCCAGAGCCCUUCCAAGCAGCCCUGUGGAAACCUGCUGCCCGUGGUCCAGCACACAGCCCUGCCCAGCAGCUCCCUGCCUCGUGGCACUGCAAUCUGCUGCCACAGGACAUAUACAUUUUGGCAGAAGCAAUUUGGUGCCCAAACAGUCCAAUACCUCUUUUCUCUGUAUUUCUUCAAAAUACACCCAAAUGUCGCUUCUUGUUUUUGGUAGAGUCUGAAGAGUUUCAGUUCCUCUUUUCCCAACAAAGCCAACACUGGCUAUCAAAUGUGAGGGCAACAGCUGUAGAGCCCUUCCAUCACACUGCGUCUGACAGUGAGCUCGCGUCGCUUUGAGCCCUUGGAGCCAAAUGCAUGGCUGAGUGGUGCAAAUGCUGAAAGCACUGGAGCUGAUUGUCAGAGCUGUGUUGGUGGUGGUUGGAAACUGCAGGCUCAGAGACAGCUUUUAGUGACAGGACUCUUAUGGAGCUUGAUUUCCAAAUCAAGCCAAGUGCCAGUGAUAAUUGCAGUGGAGUAUAUGCGUGCCCAAGGCCUAGACUAAGCCUUCAAAGUCAUGAGAUGGCUUGGAACGCCAAACUUAAUAUCGUUCAUAUGGGUCUCACUUGCUCUGCGACCAUUAGAAAUGAGUAUUUCCUGUUGUCACAAAAAAAGAGUUCUUCCAUAGCCACACACGUGGCUGCAGUCACUGAAUGUCCUGAGACUGCAGGUAAAAGUGAGGGCUGGCUGUGCCAGCUGUCUUACCACCAUCAGAAACAACGGGUCAGAUGUUGGAAAUGAUGUAAAUCCCUUCCUACCUCGGUCCUCUAAAUUAGGACUUAAAAACACAGAAGGCUGUCUAGACAUAUUUUAAUCAAGAGCUCAUUCUCCUUCUGCCUGCUAUUUAACCUGCAAGCACCGUGGCUGAAAUUUUCCAAACACAGAAUUGCAGGGAGGAGCUGCCACUGUCUCAUUAUCUUCCUAGUUAAAAAUACACUCCAUACCAUGCAGAGUGCAGUGCCAGGGGGAGGCAGCAGCUUCCAGAGACAACCAGCAGCCACAAGGGCUCUGCCCAAGGCACAAGCAGGCAGCUGUGGGGCUGCUUUUCCAUCUUUCUUUGGUAUUCCCUGAGCAAAUGCUGCAUCCUGGCCGGGAGAAUUCGAGACUUGGGCUUCCAGCUUUCGGUCAGGCUGAGAAGCACAGCCCCAUACAUAGCUGUUAAUUAACACCAUGUGAAGGAUGUAGGUGAUGUCUUACACUUGUGUGGCUACAGCCCAGGCACAGCCAAAGUGCUUGGUUUACCAGAUUCCUGGCUCUGUUGGUUCAGAGCACACAGAGAUGGUGUUUGGGCAAAGAAUCUGAUGGAUUUUAAAGUGUUCUGGGCACGCUUGCACUAAAACUCCCCCCACUUUGCUGCUCCCGAGCCUUUGUGAUGGAUUCAGUUGGGUUCAGGGAUGCGCUUUUGGUGGCUGUGUGAGUGCCCAAUGCCCUGGGAUUGUUUCCUGCUCCCUUGAAUCGUCAAAGUGAAACAUGACAGUAAACAGCUCUAUUACUGCUUCUAUUUCAAGCUGAUGUCAGCUUGCUUCUGCUUAUAUUCAGUGCUGGAGCCUCAGACCAUGAGCUAAUUUGGCUUCCUGGAGCAGAGGCAGAAGCCAGAUAGAAAGAGCAUUAAAAUGGAAAAAAAAGAAGAAGAAAAAAAAAAAGCAGAGCAAACAAGAUCUGCAUUCUCCAUAGCAGAGGGCUACGAGUGGCACCUGCCUGCUCCCUCCACCUUGUCCCAUAGCAACAGCACCCUGCACCCUCUAAUCCAGCGUGUGUCUGGCACGGGGCUGGGGCAGCUGCUGAGGGCUGACCACAGCCAAGAGAGUUUUCGUGUGUUCUCGGUCCCCUCUGAAGGAUGCAGUGCUCAGGAAUGAGAAUAUCACAGCCUCCGUGAGCUGCUGACUCUCCUCCAUCUGGAGGAACAUUGCAUUCAAGUGAGGUAGGAUGCGUUUAAAGGCAACGUGAGCGCAAGCACCCAAACAUACAGCCAAUUUUCCAAACAAAAAGUAAAGCCUCAAAGACACAUAGGUCUGUUUGGAUGGGUUGAUGUAUGGAUCAUCUGGCUUCUGGCUUCACUGCAGGCCAUCUGAACAUGGAAACUCCCAACAUUCGGAGCAAACUUGAUGCCUAAUUCCCAUUGAGUCAUGCUGUGGGACAACUAUGUUAAGAACCAGGGCUGAGAAAAGAUAACCAGGCAUGACAAAGGCAAUGGCCAUGCCAAGAGGAGCUCCUGGUGGUGGAGCUGUGCUGAGCCCCACCAGCCCCACUUCUCUCUCCGUGGGCUCUAGUGAACAGACUGCAAGAAGCAGUCCAGAUCCUCCCAUCUCCCCAGAUAAAUUCAGCCUCAGCCUCCUGCCCAGGAGGGUUUCAUUAACCAACAGCCAAGAUCUUUGCAAGUCCUCGUUAGUUCUGCAAAUCAGCGCACCGUCAGUUCCCAGUGCUGGGAAAACAUCAGCUCUGAACGUGGCUCUUUGCUGUGAGAUGUUGGACAGCUGAUGGCCAUUCACAACUCGCCGUGUUGCAACACGAUCCCUUCUUUUCUUUUCCAGGAUGAUUUAAGAAAAAGAGAAGGAAAAGGAAGGGAGAAAGUCUUUCAGUAAAGACAUUUCAACGACUCCCUUACUGGCUAUAUAAACAGGAACAAAAUCAAACAGCAAUUAGCCGUAAUUAUGCUCUAGCCUAAAAAAUCCCACACAUAUGAAACGAUUACCACAGGAAUUGCUGAAGGCUUCUGUGCACGUUUGGCUGGCAUAAUUAUACCAAGCGUGGCCUUUUGGAGAGAGCAAAUUCCUUCCCCUCGUGGGUGCUGGCUUUUCCUCCUCCCUCCGAACCUGCCAUUUUUUUCUGCAGUGUCUGGACCUCAGCGAGCAGAGUGGAAAUGGUAGCAAGGAAAUAAGUCAUUUGCAGUCCCUGUGUGUUCUGGUCCCGUAACAAUGGGUUGUGCACCCUGCAUUGAUGUCAGGCACCUGGGGACAAGUAUUUGGUGUAUUCCACCAGGAAGGUGGAGCCAGGGCUGAGAAGUGCUUCUUGCCAAGACAACAGCAAUGCUGGGAGCAGGGACAGCGUGGAUGACAAGUCCAAUGGAAACAUGUUCUCAAGUCAGCUCAGAGCCCUUCUCCCCUUAGGGGUGAAUCAGACUGAGUCUGCUUCUUCCUCCAAAAGCAGCAGAAAAGCCUGCAGGCUUAUUUCUAUUUGGACCAGCACCACUUUUUAAUCAUGACUUAUGGAGGAAACAUAUGGAAUGUAUUGAAAAAAAAUAUUGCAGUCUUCUCUGCAGCUUCUCUCUCCCUCUCUUUGGAGCAGAAAUAUGAAACAUCUGCGAUCCUUCAGCUCAGGCUGGGGUAAGCUCUCACCCCUUGACCCACUGAGUCCCUCCGGCAGCGAACACACAGGGACGUGGCGCGUGUUCUGCUCAGAGCAGCCCCAGAUGCAUCACACUGGACAGAGGAAGCAUAACCUUCUUCCUCAAGACCUGAGAGCUGGAGCUGGAGGCAGAAACCGUAGCCACAUCCAUACCUUCCUUUCCGCUCAGCCUGAGUUGUGCCAACCCUAGGAGCAUUGCAACAACUCUAAGAAAUUAAAUGGGACUUCAGUACUGCACACGAUUUUGCUCUACCCAGAAUGGGGCCAAAUGCAGUUUCAGGCUCCCAAGUGUGCCUUCAGAGAUGGGGCACCAGCGGAUGCUCCAUGCAGAGUACAGUCUGAGGGCAAUACAUGUUUCUGCAGCUGCACCCAUAUCCUUGUGCUUUGGAAAAGGACACAGAGAGCUGUUUCCCUGCCACAGUGCCUCCGGAGAGCCAAGGGACUCAGUGCUGCCUCAGCUCCCAGCAACUCAUGGGGCUGUCCCAGCUGGAACCAGCAACACUGGCACAGCAGCCCUGCUCUUCAUUGCUCUUCAUGAUGUCCGUGUGCCAGCUUUUGUCAGCAAAACCUGCUCGGCUUUGAAGAGAGCGGUGGAGAUGAAGCCCACACUCCUCAGCAGCUGCCAUAGGACAGAAACCUGCUGCCCACAGACUGGGACAGCAAACAUCCUGCCUUUGUCUCUCACUGAGAUGCAGAGCUCAGCAGUAUCCCCCUUUUAACCCAGCAGAUUUAUGACUUCAGCAUCAAAUCUCCCAUUUCUUGAACUCACCCAACAGAUCUUAUGUCAACUUAACAUCCUUUCUGAAGUGCCUGCAGUGUUUAUUCAGCCCGGCCGCUGGUUUAUUCGAGUUAAAUAUGUCUCGAUUUGAAGCAAGUUCAUUGCAGGUUCCUAUUUCCCCACCGUGGAGCAUUAGGAUAAAAAACCCACUUGACAGCUGAGUAAAUGGCAUCAAUAUGGGCUCUGGUUGGUCCAUGAAGGAGCUGAAAGAUACAGAGCAGAAAGCUCUGAGCUAAAGAUGCUCCAUUCUGUGUUCAUUGGCGCUGUCCUGGCAUGGACCUCUGCUGCCCUAUGGCUCGACCCAAGGGUGAGCUCAACAGAAUAACACAUUUUAAUUGACACAGGGAUUGCUGCUCAGCAUGAGGCAUGAGACCCUGGGGAUAUUUCCAAUGGAAAACAUAUCUGCAUUCCCUCCUGAAAGGGGGAUGGGUAAAAUUCUAAGGCUUAAAGAAUGGGCAUUCAUGGGAUCCAGAAGGUUCCUUUGUGAUGUGAUUGAUUCUCCUGCACAGACAUUUCUUGGCUUUUAAGUUAAGGAGGAAGAAGACACCAAACUCAGUGUUUCCAAGGAGUUUGGGAAAGGCUUGGGUUUCCUUCUUGUGAGCUUACCUGGGGCCACUUGCAUCAAGGCUUGAGGUGUGCUUUAAGCCAACCCAACUCAGUGAGAGUCCUUUGAAAGCCUCUCCUACACCACAAGUAGGCGUUGGGCUCAGCUUGGGCUGGGAAUAUUCAUGGGGAGGAUUUAUUGAAGGAAUGUUCUGUGGGUGAAGCAGACUUCCAGAGCGUGUUGAUAGAAAGUGAUUACCAACCUCAUAAAUAAGAGCAUUUGCACUGGCAAGAGUGAAUUAAGUGCAGAGUGUAUUAGAAGUGUGGGUCAUCUGAAGCCAAAACCCGAGGAGCAGAGCCUUCUAGCUCCAAGAAAUGCUCACAUGCUCUCCAUCCUCCCAGCUGCUUGCAACACGCGCUGAUGUGGCAAAGGGAGAAGAGCCUGUGCAGCCUAGGGGAGCUUUAAGCAUAUCAGCAGUUUUGUAUGCAGGAUAAAGCUGUGUCAGUACCGGAGGAGUGGGAGAAGCAGGGGAAGUCCCAGCUCAGCGCACAGAGGGGGACAGCCCUAGGGAUGGGGGGCUGCUCCCACUGCAGGUCUGCUCCUCGGCCUUCCCUUCACAUCAGCUGUGCCAAACACUGAGUGGAACCAUCUGAUAAAAGCUGGACGUGUAUCAAAGAUGUGCUGCGAGCGCCGUAACUCAGCCCUCAUCUGCAGUCCAGAAUUGCCAUCUGCUCAACAUGUCCUGCCCUGCUUCCUCACUGCAUGGAGGGCUCCGCGCAAAGCAUCCCCAGCGCCAGUUAUAAAACGAGCCCAGAAACCCGAGCCUCACCCCACUGCGUGUCUCCAGCCUUUUAUUGUUGCAGGGAGAAGAGAUGUGAGCCCAGGAGGAGCCGCACAGCCCCUGGAAAUCUCAGAAUACGGUCAGGGCCUUGGAGAGACUGAUUUAUGGGAUGGGACUGGAGCCUGGGGGUAUGGCUUGGUUUGGAGAGUUUCAAAAUCAGACCUUCUCUGCAGUUUGAAGAGGUCCUCCUGGAGUGCCUGCCAUCCUUCUCCCAUGGCUGUGCUGGGCUGGCUCUGGCUGGCAGGCCAAGGGCAAUGCAAUGGUGUUGGGAUGGGAUGCCGCCUGCCUGUACCACGCUUGUGGUUUCUGCACCAGAUCUGGACUCUUGUGGUGAAGAAAGUGCGUGCCUACAGAACAGCAUCCAGGGAAAAACUUGGCGUGCCAACCUAAGCACAUUUACUGCUGAUUUAUCAUCAGGCACAUAAGCGGAAAGCCAGGUUUGCAGAGAUCAGAUAGACACAGCGUUAUUUCCCCUGGCCGAGUUGAAGCUCCAAGCUUUCUGCAAUUCAUUUAUCACUGUGCUCCUUGGGGGCUGCUCUGCAGCGAGCAGGGAUGGUUCUGUAUUCCACUAACUUUACUCACCCGCUGCUGAAUGUGUGCAAAAGUCCUCCAGCUUGACCAGGAUUUGCUCUUCCCCACAUACGAAUCCAUCAAUAACUCAGACAGCAAUCGUUCCUUUUGGACAGAACAUUGAGGGCUCCUCUCUAACAGUGACUGCAGGUGACAGCCCCGUGACAAAUCAGUGCCUGAAUCAGGCUUUGAGUUUUACAAGCUGGUUUCCAACCCAUUCAUUUUCUAAGCAGGAAAAGUUGAUAUUUUUCCCAGAAAAACAGAUGCUAAUCUCAUUUUUCUGCUUCUUGCUAAAACUAUUAUUUUUGCUGCAUCAUCCUCCUCAGAGUGUUAGCAGCUUGGAUGAUUUCAGGGGUUGAAAGGUAAAGAGAAAGACUCAAAAGAAGAGCAUAUCUGUGUGCAUAUCCCAGCAUACCCAUUAGCCAAAUCUUGAUUAGUGCACUGUUCACAAUUGAAAGGACUCACAAACUCAUAUGGCCAAUGUAUUUCCUGACCUGCAUUUCUUCUUAGGGGAACAGCCCUUAGGAUGGCAUUCUUUUGGAAGGCUUUCCAUUAUUUAUGCCAUUGGUUGAAAUAUCCAACUGUAGGAAGAUUUGAAAUCCCCAGCUCCCACCACCAGCACAACCCCAGCUUGAAGCAGAGCAUCUUUCCUAGUGCUGUUCCAGGCCAUAGCAAUCCUGGUGGAUGCCUUCAGGAGCUCAGUAACCUAUUUCAGCUGCAAAACCCAAGGAGACCACCCUGCACCACCUCAUUUCCAGCCACAUCAUGCACUGAUGCAUCAGCAUGGGAAGUAAGAGCAGCAGGGUCAGGGCAGCAUGAGCAGGGGCUUCCCUGCCACCUGAUGUGAGGCUGUCCAGUGCAAGAUCAACAGUGUGCAAACUUAUUUCAGAAGCUGCCUUGUGAACAUGCAAAACAGAAACAGCAGCAGUCUGCUGGGGUCAUUCUUGCAAUGUCUGCAGCUCAGCCUUGAGAAGGCAAAGGGAAAACAGUUCUGCUGAAAGGGCCAGAGAUGUUUCAAGCAGUUCUCCACUUCCCAUCUCAUUUGCAACAUGUGCUGUUUAGGUCAUCUCUAAUGCUGGAGGCUCUUCUUCCCCUCCAGCUGGAGUCUGUUUUUUGUAGGAAUAACAAGAAGAUUCCCAGCCACUGUGAGCCCACAUCAAGGCUCCAAACACAUCUGUUUGAAGGUUCCUGGUCUGGUAGCAAUGAGUCCAAGAUGGAAGGAAAAAUCAUGAUAAGAAAGCCUCUUUUGCAGAAAUAAUAAAUCCCCAUGUAACUGCAAUUCAUUUCACAAACACGUUGGGCUCUAGAGGCAAGUUCAUCUCCAAUUUGUCUGCAGUAAUCAGCAUGCUUCUCGAUAAGGAAGAUACCAGAGCUUGGUCCAGGCUGUUGCCAAAGCUUUCAUUCCCAGGCUUGGCACGGAUGGCCAGCAGCAAGGCAGUGCUACCCGGGCACAGCGCUGCAUCUCUGGGGGCAGCUGGAGGACAUUCUGCCAUUCCCGGGCACAAGGAAGGAACACCUUCCUGCUCCAACACAGCUAUGAACUAAAUCAAUUAAAAGCAUUUUCAGAACAGCCUCCCCAUGAUACCGCCUCCUCACCGGUGAGUCGAGAGGAAGAGCACACAGAGCACGUGGGAAUGGGGCCACUACCGCAGCGUUUGAUUCAUUCUACUGAUGCUUCUUUUGCACAAGAAGUCUCCCAUGAGAAGGAGAACGACAAGCUGGGAUUAUUGCCUCAGUUCCUGGUGGAGCAGUCAGCAGCUCUUCACGCAGCCAUAGGGAAGAAAUCCAACCUUUGUGCCUGCAGCUCAGGGAGAGGCACCACGAGAGCUCCUCACCACUCAUGGUCCCCAACUCGUGCCAUGCUGGGGACAGGCAGCAGCGGUGCCUACUGCGCAUAAAGGGCAUAGAACCGACCCUUCUGCAGUCGGGUGUUGUACAGUUCAGUUCUGGCUGGGUGUUAAAUCCUACUCACCCAUUUUUUUCCUUCUCCAUCACUGCCUACAACGGUGGAGAACCCAUAGGGUUAUACAGAGAUGUUUGGAAUACGUAGGGUUAAAAGCAGCCCCAUCUGCAUCAAAAAUAAUUGCUUCAUCUAGCCAAGGAGGAUUUUGCAAUUUUCCCACCACUACCACCCAUUCUUUCUGCCCAGAAAGGUACAGGACAUGACGGGAAGUUACAGACAGAGCUGGGCAAAGCGUGCAGCUGCUUUAUUAUGAAUACGUGCUGGUAUUUCUGCAGCAAACCCAGUCCCGUGGCCAUGCAGUUCAGCUCUGUUUUUGCAAAUACUCCUGGGAGCUAAUUUAUAAAGCAGGUGUGCUCACCGAAACAUGACUGGUGCUGGUCCCGUUAGCAAGAUGGGAAUGAGAAACUGUUGAGAAAAAGCACAGACAUCAAGUCCCAGCAAAGCUAUCCUUUGCAACAGAGCCAAGGCUUUACCUCUGGACUUGCUUCUAGCUCUCCCCUGAUGCUCUCCAGUUAUCCUAUUUUUGGUGAGGGCUGCAGGCUGCCCCGCUAACAUGAUGGCAAGGAGAAAUGGCAAUGAACGCAGCAAAUCCUUCCAGCAGAGGAACAAACCCAAAUCCUAACGCUGCUGCAAUCUGGGAGGCUGCUCGUGCAAAACGUUGCAGGGCAGAGGUGUUUGCAGAGUCAUUCUGAAUAAUUUCGGUAAUUAAGAAAUUAGAGUAAUUAUGGUCUUUCCUGAGAGAACUCCAGAAUAAACGCAUACAUCAGUGUGAGCUUGGAGAGAGCAGGUUAUUCCUUACUGUGAUCGUCUCAACAGCAGCAGUUGGACUCGAUGAUCCUUAUGGGUCCCUUCCAGCUCUGGGUGUUCUAUGAUUCUAGCAGCUUCUUCUGGGCUGCAUCUCUGCUGUUUGCUGGGAAAAGCUGUGGUGGGGAGAUGCCACCAGACAGGAACAAGGGCAUAAGAGGACAGCUCUGGGCAGCUAAUGCAUUUAUUCAGGAUGAAUAAGCCCCUUGUGGUAAGCAGAGCUCCCUAAUCUCCCUCUCUCGUGGUGUAACGACUCCAGUAGCAUCAGCUCUUUGCUGUACCCGGCGAUUUUUCCUACCAAUUACCCACCGGUUCCAGACAAUCUCCCCCUGAAAUAACAGACAGGUCAUUAACAUCGAAUUUCAGUUGGAUGAUAGGGGAAUUUGUUGCUGAGAUGAUCGCCGAAGCCACGGUGAUGAAUGGGCUCAGAGGGAAUUUAGGGCAUUAUUUCCCAGUGCUCACUGCCGGUUAUCUCCUUUGCUCUGUGCUUUGUCUGCAGCCCACAGGCCGACUCCUCAAUUGCUUGUCAGUUCUAUUUCAGGGGUUAUUUCUGUACAGGGAUGUGCGUGUGUCUCCAGGCUCUGCUUUCCCUUACCACUCUUCUUGUUCAAGAGACAAGGCAACAACAAUUAGCCCCAUGGAGGGGAUGAUGCUUUGGAUUGGGCUUGUUGUACUUGGCACCCCGUCAGCAGACAGCUCUGUGAUGAGGAAGGUGCUCGUUUACGAGACUUUAAUCAUUCCUGGAGAGCAGCUCGCUGCUAUAAAAGGAGCUCCUUUGCUUUUGAAGACAGUGAGGUGAUGCAGCUUUAAGAUGGGCACCCCACUGCUGCUCAGCUCCAAUAUUGAGGUUGCUCGGCUUCCCCUCCUCGAUGUGAGCUCAGUGGCGUUAUCACAAGCUGUUUAAUAGCAGAGAUGGAUCAAAGAGAAAGAUUCCCAGCUGCAGCCCAGUAAAUUCUGUGCACAGCUGCUGCUGAAGCAGGUUAUCACCUGAAGAGCUGGGGCAACCUGUGGCACAGGGCUGACUUUUAACAGUCCCAACCACCAGGAGCAGGAAGAUGUGCAGCCGCUCUCUUUCGUCCAGUGCCAGCUGGUCCAGUGGCAAGCAACACAGAGCCAAGGAAAUCACCAAACUGCUGUUUCUGGUGACGAAAAGGGAGAAUCCAAUCACCUUCAGCAGCCCAACCAUGCCUGAAGCCGACCAGAAAGCUCCAAACACUCCUCAGACAAAGACCUCUCUCCAAUUGAACGAGCCAAGUUCAGUGCCCUUUUGUCACUCAGAACCUUCUGCUAGAUUUGCAGGAGCGCAGUGAUGCACAGAGCAGCUCCUGCCUUGUAGCAGCAGCCCCAGCAGAACAGACUGCCCGAUAACAGCACGUUUGCAUGCCAUGCAGCAGUGGAAGAAAACCUGAACGUAGCUGAGGACACAGGUCCUCAAAACUCUGGUCUUAAGGUUUGGAUCUCAGUGUCCCAGCAAGGAAGGACAGAGGCACUUCCCAGAGAUUAUGACCAGCUGGUUUUCUCAUUCCCAGCAAUACAAUCAGGGCUAACAUAAUUCCUUGCUAUUACAGCCUGUCUGGAUUUCCUCUCUUGGGACAGAGAAGAUGAUUUCCCAAUGAGAAGUGCUGCCCACUCCCUUUGCUCUGACCUGGCCUGGCAGACUGCAGCUCCUGAGCAGCUGGGCUAAAGCACAGGCUGGUUUUUACAAAAUUCUCCUAUUCCACAGCAGGAAGGAACAAGAGCUAUGCACGACAUUUAUUUUUAGCCAUAUUUUGGCUUUAUUUUUUUCCUAUGUUUUAGCUGAUUUUCGCUUUUGCCUCUGCAGUGGCACCAUCCAGCCACCUCGGCCGCUCCAUCCCUCUGCUCUCGUGCUUUUCCCCUAUAAAGGGAGCAGAUCUCGAUCUGCUAUAGCUCUGCUCCACUCCACAUAAAAGGCAGAGGGAGGAGAGCUGCCCUGGGGUCAGCCAGCCCUCCCUAAGCAGUGGGAUGCUGAUGGUGAGAGAUCAUCGCUCUGAUUGAGCAGGGACUCAUCUAUCAUCUCUCACAGCAGAAGGCCAAGGUGUUCAGCAUUAAGAGCCCCAGCUGAGUUUAUAUGGAGAUGCAGCCUAUGCUACAUUUAAGAUUGACCAGAGGGUAAACGUUAGAUCUCCUUUCAGCCUUCCCCCCUUCUGAAGACAAUCACAUUUGGGGAUCUGAAGUCUGGAUCUAAUAUAUAGCACAGUAUUAAUAGUUGUUGGAAGGAGUUGCUACAAGCUAUUACUGAGGCAAAGUAAAAGAAAUCAGAUGUUUACGUACAAUUAUGCUAUUGUGCAGCUCAGUGGCCAAGAAAGAGCGUGGACAGUAAAAAGGAAAAGUGCCUUUUAGUAUUUUGGGAUGGCGUCGAGAUGGACAGAUAGGGAGCGGAAGGCAUGAGGGGAGCUCAGAUUUCCCUGCCAUCACUCUUUGCAGAGCUGUGCAGGGGAGGAAUGAGCCCCAUUCUGCAGGGAGGGUGUUGUUCCCCAAGCACGGCAGUAUAGACAGAAGUGUAGCAGCAGUGUGUGCCACCAGGGCCACGGUGACAGCAGUGCUUGGAGCAGCAUGGCCAACAGACCCCACUCUGCUCUGAUUUCAGCUCCAAUAAUACAAUUAUCAGAGGUUUUACUCUACUUCUGUAAUCAGCCAACUCCCUACAGACACCUUUAGUUUGCAGGAAGUCAUGAAGCCCUUCACCUCCACGUUGACCUCAAGGCAGCAACACCUCUCCAGCCAAAUUUCAUUCCCAAGCACACACAUCAGCACCGUGCUCCGGUCACAGCCUCUGUCCAGACCCUCUAGCAGAGGGCUCCCCAGGCAGCUGUGGUGCUCCUCCUUGCAUGAUGCAAUGCCUUGGGGCACCCCAGUGCCUUCUGGGGGCAGCAGGACCUAAGUGUCACCCAGUAGAUGUAUGGACACUGUCCCACCCACAGCUCAGCCCUAACAGCAGUCUGCAUGCAAAAAUCUCUGCCAGCAUCCCAGGAAAGUUCCCAUCCCAGCCAUCCACACGACCCAUGGGAAGAUGAAGGCAGAAAGGGGGGGGAGGGAAGAGAUAAACAAUUUCCUACACAGGCUCGAGCCCAUCUUACAAGAAACACAUGCUCCCUGACACAAUAUUUAGCCCUACUGUAACGUGGUCCAUUUGGAGGCUGGUGGCUGUGUGGAGAGCUGUAGUAAAACAUUCUUUGCUGGUAACACAGAGAGAGAGAGAGAAAGAGGGAGAAAAAAACCCACCCUUAAUAAUAAUAGUUGUGGUUAACUCCAUAAGGGCUGGAGGAAAGGAUAGCACAGCGCUUCUCCUGGAGCAGGGAUGUGGUUCAGCACCAAGCAAAGCACCCAACGCUGCACAGAAGCAUUGCUCCCAACGGACACUGACCCCUUGGCUCUGCCCCAUUAGACCCAUAGGAGAGGAGCCAGCAUCUUUUGGGUCUGGAUUUGUGAUCUGAGCAGAGGAACAGCUGAAGGAACAGUCCUGGGAAGGAUCGCUAUGUUAAGCCAAAUAAAUAGGCUUUUUUUUUUUUUUUUUUUUUUAAGUUUUAUUCAACUUUUCUGCUCAUUAGCUCAGGAACUUACAGUUGGAGCUGUCACUGGACUCCUCCUGCCAACAUAGUGCGGGGCUUCGAGCAGUUACAUCAUUUGGCUCCUUAGAGCAGCUAAGUGGAAACACAUUUGCUCGUGCUCCUUCUUGCUUCUCCCCAGCCUCACAGAGCAUCAGGAGACUCUCAGCACACCCAGCACCAACCUGGGACCAUCCCAAACUACCCUACAGCACGCCCAGCCCCACUGCCACCCCUGCCCUGGGUGAAACAGUGAGGGUCUGGGUAUUUAGCAGCACCCUGGCUCUGUCUGUUAGCAAAUAAUCCAUUCUGCCUCCUUAUGUUUCUCCUUGGUUUCCCCCUAGGCCUAUGCAUGUCCUUCCCCACCCUGCAGAGCCCCACAGCCAGCACUCCUGACUAUUCCCACUCCUUUGUUCUCUGCUCUGCUUUGCCCAGGCAGAAAUUCUUUUUGCCUUCAGUUUAUCCAAAAAUCAGCUGCCUUGCUCCUCCCCAGGAAGGGCUGCAAUUAGCAUCAGGAAGAAAAUAGCUGUGUCCAGCAUGGUCCACUACUCUGGCCCUUGUUACUGAGACCAGGAGGAGGAAAAAAGGAAUCAGUGGCCAUAAAGAACUGCUCCAGUUCCCAACUUAAACAAAGUUAAUUUUUUCUGCAACAUAACCGAAGGAGAAGGAAGUUCAGAGAGUUUUGUUGUUAAUCUCCCCAUUCAAAGCAAAGGGUUCUCACUUACAAUGAACACCGCUGCAUCUCUUACCUUACAGCCUCAGGGCAGAAAGCAACGUGAAUCCCAGCCCUCAGGGGACCUCUGGUGGGUUAUCAGAAGGGCAGAAAUACAUUCUUCCCAGACUGGUGGCAAUGACCAUUUCCCAAACAGCAGGAUGUGAAUGGUGCCUGGAAUCCAAGGAUGCUGCUGGUGGCAAAGGCACACCUACUGAAUUUAAAGAAGAGGAAUGGCUACAGCUGAGAGCACCACGUUUCUGAGCUCCCUGGUUUGGGUCAGGUCCCUAAAUAGGCAAGGUAGGUUCACAGGCCAACAAACACUGCCCAUCAGGACCUGCUCAUUACCCAGCUGUGCUUCAUCUGCCCAGCAGAGGCUGAGUGUUAGCACCUGGGAGGGGUGAGCACAGCUUCACUGACCAUCUGCAGCCCAGGACAAAAGGGCAAUGCAACCACACCGAGUGCUUUCUCCUAUACUUAUUAUCAGAUCAGUCAAAACUACAUCAUCCGCUCAUGCCUUUUUCUUAAGAAAAAACACCAAUAUUUUUGCUGAAGAACUGAAAACAAUGCUAACAUCAGCUCAGUCCUCUUACAACCAAGGGCAAAUAAGAUGCUGCAGGAAAGAAAAUAUAUAGCAGUGAUGCAGCUGAAACAUUUCUGGCUAUGACGGGAUCGUGCAGUGGUCAUGUUACCUACAACGGUUCCAUGUGCUCCUCUAUUAACCAGAGAACAAGGGUGGCUGGCAGCCAGCCAUGCCUACAAGGACUGUGUGCCUUGGUGUCCCUGGUGCUGUCCCUUAGGCACGAGGAUAAGGAAACUGCACUAAGUUGGAAGCUCUUAGACAAGAGAUGUGUCUGAGCAGACUGCCCCUUGGUUGGGUUAGAUGAUGCUGGUGGUCUUUUCCAACCUUAAGGAUACUGUGAACACAAGUAAUUGUUCUUCCUGCAUCUGCUUCAGGACAUGACACUGCUUCAGGACAUGACACUGAUGCCAGUCUUUCCUCUGCGCUGAGGAGUCGGUUGCAGAUUUUAAGUAAAUUUGUGGUCUUUCUUCAUUCAUUCUCUAUGCUGACAUUUAGUCAUGAGAAAGCAAUUUCUUCAUGGAAUGCCCUGAGCUGCAGCGUGGCUCUGUCUGGAGGAUGUGGUGCAGGGAUGGCUGUGGUGAUUCACAGUGCUGAGACCCCCAUGGAAGACCGAGGAGCCCAGUGCAGGUGUUGGCACAUGGCAGCAGGGCACAUCAUCCUCAGCACUGAGAAAACAGCCACUUGGGUCUCCUCCUCCUCCUCCCUGCCUGAGCUCCCACAUGGACUCAUGGGCCUUCACUACACUGCUUCCAUGGCUGGAGCAAUGGUGGUCUGAAGGGUGGUUUUGUAGAAGUGGGAGGAAAAAGCAGAGAAUUCAGUGAGCUGAAGCUUUGGUUCUGCUGCAGGCGCUCUGCUGUCUCUUUCCUUCGAAGCAGAGCUCUCUGGAGACUUGAAAUAUCCAUAGUAUUGAUGCCCCUCUUUUUUAAUUCUG